rnacentral:misc_RNA from 1 species
CAGAGUCGAAAUACUCCGUAACCCAUUGUGAACGUUACCUUAACCGUUGCUUCGGCGGGCGGCGCCCGGCCCUCGUGGCCCGCGGCGCCCCCCGGCCCCCUGCGGGCGCCCGCCGGAGGUAUACCUAACUCUUGAAUUACAUGGCCUCUCUGAGUCUUCUGUACUGAAUAAGUCAA